ensembl:lncRNA
AUAACCAAAAGGAACUGGGACGCUGAUCUCAUCAAGGACACAAGUCAUGUUAUCUCGCUGAAAGGUGACACACGUUUUUCCGUGAUGAAUGCCUGAGCAGAUCACCAUUUGAGACUGGGCGGAUCACUGAAGAUUGUUACAAAAAAGAAUCAACAGCAGAUAACUCUCUCUCUCACUCGUGCAGAUGCGUGCCAAAGAUGGGAUGACGUCAUCAAAGCGGACUCCUAAAGACCAGCAACAGAGCUGAGGUUUAGUCUGCAGCGAUUGGAUCCGCCCCGGGUUUUGGCUGUCGACACGCUGUGUGCGCUGACUAGACCUUUUAUUGCGGCCUUCAUCCCCAGCUGGCUGCUCAACCUCUUCAUCCUGGCAUGUUGUGCCCUUCCUCUCUGAGUCGAUGCCACAACAGUCUGUGAAGGUGUUAAUAAGAUGACGACGCAGGCCUCUCUGAAACAUGAAGCCGGAAUUACUCCCUUUGCAGUCAAUAAUUACUUUUUCAC